ACCCAGCCAUGCCGCGUGAAGGACGACGGCCCUAUGGGUUGUAAACUUCUUUUGUACGGGAAAAAACUCUCGAACGUGUUCGAGACUGAUGGUACCGUAAGAAUAAGGAUCGGCUAACUCCGUGCCAGCAGCCGCGGUAAUACGGAGGAUCCAAGCGUUAUCCGGAUUCAUUGGGUUUAAAGGGUGCGUAGGCGGAUUAAUAAGUCAGUGGUGAAAGCCUUCAGCUUAACUGAAGAACUGCCAUUGAUACUGUUAGUCUUGAGUACAUUUGAAGUGGGCGGAAUGUGUCAUGUAGCGGUGAAAUGCUUAGAUAUGACACAGAACUCCGAUAGCGAAGGCAGCUCACUAAACUGUAACUGACGCUGAGGCACGAAAGCGUGGGGAUCAAACAGGAUUAGAUACCCUGGUAGUCCACGCCGUAAACGAUGAUUACUCGAUGUGUGCGAUAUACUGUACGCGUCUGAGCGAAAGCAUUAAGUAAUCCACCUGGGGAGUACGAUCGCAAGAUUGAAACUCAAAGGAAUUGACGGGGGCCCGCACAAGCGGAGGAGCAUGUGGUUUAAUUCGAUGAUACGCGAGGAACCUUACCUGGGCUUAAAUGUA
rnacentral:rRNA from 1 species